rnacentral:lncRNA from 1 species
UCAACGGAAUCAGGCUCCUUCAGAGCUGUCGAGUAAAGAGUUAUAAGUCUUGGGUCUCCGACGAUUAGAGAGAGAGCAUCCCUUUAAAUCUACACGCGGUCGUCCAAGCAUCUCGCGUCGCGGCAUCAGUCUGUGAAGUUAGAAUUAAGCGCAAUACGCAAAGCCACGAACUUAAUCAAGCCGUGUAGCACGUAAGUGAGUGAGUGAAGGUGUAAACUUCGGCACCUUCGAGGCCGAAGCAGAAUCCGAGAGAGAGAGAGUGCGAAAGAGCGAGAACGUCAACAACUAGCGGAUGCUUUCACGAAGCCACUACCGUCAGUGCAAUUUUUGAAAAUCCGGAAACGAAUGAGCCUGGAAGAAUUAUUCGAAAGUGCCCGCGAGGUUUUGCUUGGCAACAGCCAUCCCGAUCCAGACGUCAGGCGGAAGAAACAACUUAGCAUUUUGAAAGAGUCUACAGGAAGACGCCCAACCAACCGGUAUAUAAUUCCCCGUAGUGAUCAUUUAAUCAUUGUGAACGAGAAUUAAAAUUAAAAUUCACACAUCGACCUCGCCAGUUAAUAUCCAUACGAAUCUGAACGUCAUUACGGAAUCGCCAUGAAGAAAAUUUAAGAAGAUCGUGGAUUCCAAAUUUUUAUACAAAGAUUCGCAAAAUCACAUGGACGAUUACACGAUGGAGCUGCUGCCGAGUAUUUAAAUCAAGGGAUAAGUGAUUUUUAAUAUAUUUGUUAGGGUGGUUUUGUUUUUAACUUUUUUUUUCUUAUCUACCUUCGAAAAAGUUAGUUUUGAGCCUCAAACAAAGCCUCGCGAAACCGAAGCACGGUGGCUUAAUUCUAAAAGGUGACGCAUCCGGUUCGAAUUUUUCCCAUUUGAUUAACACAAGAUGAGGGCUAUGCAAACACUCUAACCGGGACGUCUCGAAAACUGUGCAAGUUACGGAGCCGUUUUUUUUUUCAUUUUGUAGGUAAU